UCCCAGCAGUCCAAUUCGCAAUCACUUUUAUUGGGUCUAAAACAUCCGUAGCUUGCUAUGUAAGUCUCUUGUGAAAUCCGGUCUCUUAAGGGCCGAAGUGCGAGAGAUACUGCAUAGCUAGAGACCGGGAGAGGUAAAGAGUACAGAUGGAGUAGCGGUAAAAUGUGUUGAUCCUAUCUGGACUAACAACUGCGAAGGCACUUUACUAGAACGGAUCUGACAGUGAGGGAUGAAGGCUAGGGGCGAAAAACGG
rnacentral:rRNA from 1 species